rnacentral:rRNA from 1 species
GUUGAACGCUGGCGGCGUGCUUAACACAUGCAAGUCGAACGGUAAAGGCGGAGCUUGCUCUGCUGGAUCAGUGGCGAACGGGUGAGUAACACGUGAGCAAUCUGCCCCUGACUCUGGGAUAAGCGCUGGAAACGGCGUCUAAUACUGGAUACGAGCUUCGAAGGCAUGUUCAGCAGCUGGAAAGAAUUUCGGUCGGGGAUGGGCUCGCGGCCUAUCAGCUUGUUGGUGAGGUAAUGGCUCACCAAGGCGUCGACGGGUAGCCGGCCUGCGAGGGUGACCGGCCACAAGGGGACUAAGGCACGGCCCAGACGCCUACGUGGGGCAGCAGUGGGGAGUAUGGCACAAUGGGGGCAAGCCGAAUGCAGCAACGCCGCGUGUGGAACGACGGCCUUCGGGUUGUAAACCGCUUUUGGCUGGGAAGAAGCGAAAGUGACGGUACCUGCAGAAAAAGCGCCGGCUAACUACGUG